CUACGGGGGGCAGCAGUGGGGAAUAUUGGACAAUGGGGGAAACCCUGAUCCAGCAAUGCCGCGUGUGUGAAGAAGGCCUGCGGGUUGUAAAGCACUUUCGGUUGGGAGGACUGCUUCUAGCACUAAUAUUGUUGGAAGUUGACGUUACCUUCAGAAGAAGCACCGGCUAACUCCGUGCCAGGCAGCCGCGGUAAUACGGGAGGUGCAAGCGUUAAUCGGAAUUACGGGGCGUAAAGCGCGCGUAGGCGGCUAGAUCAGUCGGGUGUGAAAGCCCCGGGCUUAACCUGGGAACUGCAUCCGAUACUGUCUAGAUUGAGUACAGGAGAGGAGAGUGGAAUUCCACAUGUAGCGGUGAAAUGCGUAGAUAUGUGGAGGAACACCAAUGGCGAAGGCAGCUCUCUGGCCUGAUACUGACGCUGAGGUGCGAAAGCGUGGGGAGCAAACAGGAUUAGAUACCCCUGUAGUC
rnacentral:rRNA from 1 species